UACACUCCUACGGGAGGCAGCAGUGGGGAAUUUUGGACAAUGGGCGAAAGCCUGAUCCAGCAAUGCCGCGUGUGUGAAGAAGGCCUUCGGGUUGUAAAGCACUUUUGUCCGGAAAGAAAUCCUUGGCUCUAAUACAGUCGGGGGAUGACGGUACCGGAAGAAUAAGCACCGGCUAACUACGUGCCAGCAGCCGCGGUAAUACGUAGGGUGCGAGCGUUAAUCGGAAUUACUGGGCGUAAAGCGUGCGCAGGCGGUUUGCUAAGACCGAUGUGAAAUCCCCGGGCUCAACCUGGGAACUGCAUUGGUGACUGGCAGGCUAGAGUAUGGCAGAGGGGGGUAGAAUUCCACGUGUAGCAGUGAAAUGCGUAGAGAUGUGGAGGAAUACCGAUGGCGAAGGCAGCCCCCUGGGCCAAUACUGACGCUCAUGCACGAAAGCGUGGGGAGCAAACAGGAUUAGAUACCCCGGUAGUCCC
rnacentral:rRNA from 1 species